GAGAACAUCACAAGCCUCCACAUCAAUGGAGAUUUUGGACAUCUGAAUGUUUCUGAGUGAAGAAGAAUUCAUAGUUAACUCAGACUUUUCAGGCUCAAAGAGAUAAGCUAACUAUGAUCAACACAUAUUAGCUUUCGGCUCAGUAGAUGAAUCAGUUAUGCUGAUGCCAGCAUUGGUGACAGACAGAUUCCUCCUCCAUUAGAUGUAUGGCCCUCACAUGAACAGUAAAUAAUCUACAAAAUACCAGACGUCUGCAACACAUAUUCAUAUUGUCUGCCGUAACUCUUGACAUGAAGAACAUGUAUAACUGAUGCCAUUAGGGCCAGAUAAUCCACUGGAUUAACCCACAACAGGUGAGACCCCAGUGACAACCUCUCCGGCCACUGACCACUACAUCGCAGAAAGCGAUGAAGUUGGCAAAAUCUCUGAGUAUAGGAUGAAACUCCAGUAAGAAAGAUAAUCCACCCUGGCUUCCUCUUUUGCCGUGUCUUAAAGACCUGGUUCUUCCAGCAAGCUACUCAAGGUCAUCGGUUGACCUUUCAGUGUCUAUGACAAGAAUGCUGCUAAGCUUCAGAAAAUCAUCUAAUCCCAGAGAUCUCAAUAUUUGGGGUUUUCAUAUUUUUAAGUUUUCAGCCCUUUUAGGCAAUUGGUGGAUCUAGGGACAUUAUUCGAAAUAGACUUUUUGUUAAAUAUGUAAACCUUUCUGUCCCUGAAGUGUUUAAUAUGGUUGGCGUAUAUUACCUGUUAAUGUAAUUGUUGAAACAGAAUCUAACUGUGUGUUUACAAUGAAAUCCAAAGUCAAAAGUCAGGGAAACAAG